GCGUUUGUGGUUUAGUGGUAAAAUCCAUCCUUGCCAUGGAUGGGCCCCGGGUUCGAUUCCCGGCGAACGCA